UGGACGAACGCUGGCGGCGUGCCUAACACAUGCAAGUCGUACGGAGUUCACUUGGAAGCUUGCUUCCGAGUGAACUUAGUGGCGGACGGGUGAGUAACGCGUGAGCAACCUGCCUCACAGAGGGGGAUAACACACGGAAACGUGUGCUAAUACCGCAUAAUCCGAUGAAGCGGCAUCGCUUUAUCGGCAAAGGAGCAAUCCGCUGUGAGAUGGGCUCGCGUCCGAUUAGAUAGUUGGUGAGGUAACGGCUCACCAAGUCUACGAUCGGUAGCCGGACUGAGAGGUUGGACGGCCACAUUGGGACUGAGACACGGCCCAAACUCCUACGGGAGGCAGCAGUGAGGGAUAUUGCACAAUGGGCGAAAGCCUGAUGCAGCGACGCCGCGUGAGGGAUGACGGUCUUCGGAUUGUAAACCUCUGUCCUUGGUGAAGAAGAAAGUGACGGUAGCCAAGGAGGAAGCCACGGCUAACUACGUG
rnacentral:rRNA from 1 species